rnacentral:rRNA from 1 species
UACAGAGGGGGCGAGCGUUGUUCGGAAUCACUGGGUGUAAAGGGUGCGUAGGUGGUGAGGAAAGUCGGAUGUGAAAUCUCCGGGCUUAACCCGGAAAUGGCAUUGGAAACUACCUUGCUAGAGGUUUUGAGGGGGGACUGGAAUUCUCGGUGUAGCAGUGAAAUGCGUAGAUAUCGAGAGGAACACCAGUGGCGAAGGCGAGUCCCUGGAAAACACCUGACACUGAGGCACGAAAGCUAGGGGAGCAAACAGG